CCUACGGGUGGCAGCAGUAGGGAAUAUUGCUCAAUGGGGGAAACCCUGAAGCAGCAACGCCGCGUGGAGGAUGAAGGUUUUCGGAUUGUAAACUCCUUUUGUUAGAGAAGAUAAUGACGGUAUCUAACGAAUAAGCACCGGCUAACUCCGUGCCAGCAGCCGCGGUAAUACGGCGGGUGCAAGCGUUACUCGGAAUCACUGGGCGUAAAGGGCGCGUAGGCGGGAUAGCAAGUGAGAUGUGAAAUCCUAUGGCUUAACCUUAGAACUGCAUUUGAAACUGUUAGUCUAGAGUAUGGUAGAGGUAGGUGGAAUGCAUGGUGGAGGGGUAAAAUCCGUAGAGAUCAAGAGGAAUACUCAUUGCGAAGGCGACCUGCUAGGACAUAACUGACGCUGAUGCGCGAAAGCGUGGGGAGCAAACAGGAUUAGAUACCCCGGUAGUC
rnacentral:rRNA from 1 species